GAUGAACGCUGGCGGCGUGCCUAACACAUGCAAGUCGAACGGAAAGGCCCUGCGCUUGCGGCUUGCUCGAGUGGCGAACGGGUGAGUAACACGUGAGUAACCCGUCCUUGACUUUGGGAUAACUUCACGAAACUGGGGCUAAUACCCGAUAGGAGCUCUUGCUGCAUGGUGGGGGUUGGAAAGUUUCGGCGGUUGGGGCUGGUCUCGCGGCUUAUCAGCUUGUUGGUGGGGUAGUGGCGUACGAAGCCUAUGACGGGUAGCCGGCCUGGGAGGGUGACCGGCGACCAUGGUCCUACGGUACGGCCCAGACUGCUACGGGACGCAGCGGUGGGGAAUCUUGCGCAGUGGGGGGGCGCGUGAUACAGCAACGCCGCGUGCGGAAUGCCGGCCUACGGGUUGUAAACCAAUUUCGAAUGUGACAAAGAGUGAGUGACGGUAAUGGGUAAGGAAGCACCGGCUAACUACGUG
rnacentral:rRNA from 1 species